rnacentral:misc_RNA from 1 species
GAAAUGCGAUAAUUAAUGUGAAUUGCAGAAUUCAGUGAAUCAUCGAGUCUUUGAACGCACAUUGCGCCCCCUGGUAUUCCGGGGGGGCAUGCCUGUCCGAGCGUCAUUGCUGCCCUCAAGCACGGCUUGUGUGUUGGGCUUCCGUCCCUGGCAACGGGGACGGGCCCAAAAGGCAGUGGCGGCGCCAUGUCUGGUCCUCGAGCGUAUGGGGCUUUGUCACCCGCUCCCGUAGGUCCCGCUGGCAGCUAGCCUCGCAACCAAUCUUUUUAACCAGGUUGACCUCGGAUCAGGUAGGGAUACCCGCUGAACUUAAGC